UGUCAAUGAACGAUACUGAUUCUUUUUUUAUUUUCAGCAACACCGAAUUUAUUCGCAUAUAAAUCUUACCAAUUUACCUCUUCUUUCAGGUACUUACUCGGUCGCCACUUCGUUUGACCUCCAACGAAGAAGGAUAAGCCGAAAGCAACUGCCACCGAUGAUCCUAGUUUGGCCCGGUGUUCUUUCUCGCAAGCUGCCUCGGAAGAUCUCACUCCGGAAAUGAAUGUGAUACGACCACAUGCAGGUACCUCUCGGAGCUGAUGUGGACAUCGAACUCGAGGGAUGAACGUUUUGUGGAUCUCAUCAAUCUUGGAAAUUAAACUGAAAUGUUGAUUCGGCCUGAUCGUUUGGUUGUUGGCCCUCUCCCAAAUCGGUAUUUUCAUUCACUUUUCUCACCUCAUGUGAGAUAAAUGCGUUCAACAGAUCCACCGCGCAUUGCGCCCUGCCAAAAAUGUCAUCUUCCAUGCCUCUCUCAUAAUUAAAGUUUCGAAGGCUUUCUGCAAAUUGUCCCAAGCUUCCUUGGCCGUUUUAGCAUUACAUGGACGUAACAUGUCGGCUUCAUGCUCAAGCAUAUUUUCGCUAACGCUCUAUUAUUUUUGUCUGGAUCACCACCCGUCGAAUCACUCACAAGCUCCCAGAGACCUUCAAGCAUGAGGCUCAUCUUUAUUGCAAACUUCCAUGAGGCAUAAUUUGAUUGCCCAUCUAAUUUUUCAAUAUUCGGCACUGCCGAAUAUUGAAGUAGAAAUUGUAAUUGGUAUUGCGCUAGCGGUAGUGGCCAUGUUCCACGAAUAUAACAAAAAAAAGAUAGAGCCGUUUAUACACGAAUUACGAUUUUCUUAAAGAAUAUUAUUAUCUUUUACUUUAUUUGCGUUCUUCUAGGCCCAUAACCUGUUAAGCAUAGAUAAUAAUGAUAGGCUGUUCUACUCCAUUAACAAAUAUGUGAAAGUACAGCUGCUAUUCCCGUGGGACUUGCAUCGCAAGCUAGUGUAAGAGAUAAUUCUGGAUUGAACGGCAUUAGGACACGGCUGUUGGCAAUUUCUUCUUUUAACUUUAUGAAGACUGCUUCACAGGCUGUCCAUUUGAAUGUUGUAUUUUUCCAAAGUAGACAUCGUAGAGGAUGUGUAAUAGUUGAUGCAUAUAUAUUGGAUAUAAAUCUUGUGUAGUGUUAUGUACCGCGACGCAACGACGCCGCACGUUAUCGAUGGUCCUCUUGAGUUCCUAAGCUGACCUUAUGUUUAGGUCGUAUCCUAACACUACCCUGCUAAAAAUGUUCGAUUAAAACCGAUUAAAACGUAAUCCGUUUUAAUCGAAUUUAAUCGGUUUUAAUCGGUUCAAUCCG